GGACUCGCUCCCUCGCGCCGUGCAGAUCUCAGGACGCGCUCCCUCGCGCCGUGCAGAUCUCAGGACGCGCUCCCUCACGCCGUGCAGAUCUCAGGACUCCCUCACGCCGUACAGAUCUCAGGACGCGCUCCCUCACGCCGUGCAGAUCUCAGGACUCGCUCCCUCACGCCGUCCAGAUCUCAGGACUCGCUCCCUCGCGCCGUGCAGAUCUCAGGACGCGCUCCCUCGCGCCGUGCAGAUCUCAGGACGCGCUCCCUCACGCCGU